GGAGCCUGAGAAACGGCUACCACAUCCAAGGAAGGCAGCAGGCGCGCAAAUUACCCAAUCCCGACACGGGGAGGUAGUGACAAUAAAUACUGAUACGGGGCUCUUUUGGGUCUCGUAAUUGGAAUGAGAACAAUUUAAAUCCCUUAACGAGGAACAAUUGGAGGGCAAGUCUGGUGCCAGCAGCCGCGGUAAUUCCAGCUCCAAUAGCGUAUAUUAAAGUUGUUGCAGUUAAAAAGCUCGUAGUUGAACCUUGGGUCUGGCUGGCCGGUCCGCCUCACCGCGAGUACUGGUCCGGCUGGACCUUUCCUUCUGGGGAACCUCAUGGCCUUCACUGGCUGUG
rnacentral:rRNA from 1 species